rnacentral:rRNA from 1 species
AUUGAACGCUGGCGGUAGGCCUAACACAUGCAAGUCGAACGAGUGGCGGACGGGUGAGUAAUGUCUGGGAAACCGCCUGAUGGAGGGGGAUAAAUACUGGAAACGGUCGCUAAUACCGCAUACCAUCAGAUGUGCCCAGCUGGGAUUCGCUAGUUGGGGGGGUAACGGCUCACCAAGGCGACGAUCCCUAGCUGGUCUGAGAGGAUGACCAGCCACACUGGAACUGAGACACGGUCCGGACUCCUACGGGAGGCAGCAGUGGGGAAUAUUGCACAAUGGGCGCAAGCCUGAUGCAGCCAUGCCGCGUGUAUGAAGAAGGCCUUCGGGUUGUAAAGUACUUUCAGCGGGGAGGCGUUACCCGCAGAAGAAGCACCGGCUAACUCCGUGCCAGCCGCCGCGGUAAUUC